AGGUUCUAACCUUGGCCCGUGAUCCGGGUCGGGGACAGUGCAUGGUAGGCAGUUUGACUGGGGCGGUCUCCUCCCAAAGCGUAACGGAGGAGUACGAAGGUACGCUAGGUACGGUCGGAAAUCGUGCUGAUAGUGCAAUGGCAUAAGCGUGCUUAACUGCGAGACCGACAAGUCGAGCAGGUGCGAAAGCAGGUCAUAGUGAUCCGGUGGUUCUGUAUGGAAGGGCCAUCGCUCAACGGAUAAAAGGUACUCUGGGGAUAACAGGCUGAUACCGCCCAAGAGUUCAUAUCGACGGCGGUGUUUGGCACCUCGAUGUCGGCUCAUCUCAUCCUGGGGCUGUAGCCGGUCCCAAGGGUAUGGCUGUUCGCCAUUUAAAGAGGUACGUGAGCUGGGUUUAAAACGUCGUGAGACAGUUUGGUCCCUAUCUGCCGUGGGCGUUGGAUAUUUGAAGGGGGCUGCUCCUAGUACGAGAGGACCGGAGUGGACGAACCUCUGGUGUACCGGUUGUCACGCCAGUGGCAUCGCCGGGUAGCUAUGUUCGGAAGAGAUAACCGCUGAAAGCAUCUAAGCGGGAAACUCGCCUUAAGAUGAGAUAUCCCUGGGGACUGGAUCCCCUUGAAGGGUCGUUCGAGACCAGGACGUUGAUAGGUCAGGUGUGUAAGCGCAGUAAUGCGUUCAGCUAACUGAUACUAAUUGCCCGUAAGGCUUGAUCCUAUAACA
rnacentral:rRNA from 1 species